CGCAAUAUAGUUAUUUCUCCUCAAGUUUAUUCCAUACAGUACACUAUGCCACUUGAAAGAUUUCUCUAUCGGUUCCUUGGACAAUAAAACUCACUUAUAAGUGUCGCCCCGAUGAUGAUCAAGGGCACUUGCGAACGCCGCCAUGGGUGGCGAGCGCAAAGUAGCAGGGACAUGAAUCGUAGUUGCCGUAGGUGCCCGGAGGAACGCAGCUGCACCUGGCACAGCAGGUCCCGCAGGCCCUCUUGCACAAGUUUGGCCUUGACGACUUGCUGCACCUCACCGAGCAUGCCGCCCCACAGUCUAUCCCGCCAAGAAGAGAACGUCCUGUCCGGGUCUCAGAUUCAGAAACAGAACUAGGCUCGACGAGAUUGACGAGGAGGAAGAGGAGUACAAGAGAUGCCAAGAAGGAGCUGGAUGAAGCCAUUGAUGAGAUGAGGAGGCAGUAGGAGCUUCUUCAGCUUAGCAACUGGAUUGUAGUUGUAUUGGCUU
rnacentral:misc_RNA from 1 species